rnacentral:rRNA from 1 species
CAGUCGCCACGGUAACACGGAGGGUGCAAGCGUUAAUCGGAAUUACUGGGCGUAAAGCGCACGCAGGCGGUCUGACAAGUCAGAUGUGAAAUCCCCGGGCUUAACCUGGGAACUGCAUUUGAAACUGUCAGGCUGGAGUCUUGUAGAGGGGGGUGGAAUUCCAGGUGUAGCGGUGAAAUGCGUAGAGAUCUGGAGGAAUACCGGUGGCGAAGGCGGCCCCCUGGACAAAGACUGACGCUCAGGUGCGAAAGCGUGGGGAGCAAACAGGAUUAGAUACCCGCGUAGUCCCUGUCUCUUAUAA